rnacentral:rRNA from 1 species
ACUCAAAGGAAUAGACGGGGGCCCGCACAAGCGGCGGAGCAUGCGGAUUAAUUCGAUGCGACGCGAAGAACCUUACCUGGGUUUGACAUCGCCCGGAAACUGCCAGAGAUGGUGGCCUCUUCGGAUCGGGUGACAGGUGGUGCAUGGCUGUCGUCAGCUCGUGUCGUGAGAUGUUGGGUUAAGUCCCGCAACGAGCGCAACCCUCGUUCCAUGUUGCCAGCGGGUUAUGCCGGGGACUCAUGGGAGACUGCCGGGGUCAACUCGGAGGAAGGUGGGGAUGACGUCAAGUCAUCAUGCCCCUUAUGUCCAGGGCUUCACGCAUGCUACAAUGGCCGGUACAAUGGGUUGCGAUACCGUGAGGUGGAGCGAAUCCCAAAAAGCCGGUCUCAGUUCGGAUCGGGGUCUGCAACUCGGCCCCGUGAAGUCGGAGUCGCUAGUAAUCGCAGAUCAGCAACGCUGCGGUGAAUACGUUCCCGGGCCUUGCACACACCGCCCGU